rnacentral:rRNA from 1 species
GACGAACGCUGGCGGCGUGCCUAAUACAUGCAAGUUGAGCGCUGAAGGUUGGUACUUGUACCAACUGGAUGAGCAGCGAACGGGUGAGUAACGCGUGGGGAAUCUGCCUUUGAGCGGGGGACAACAUUUGGAAACGAAUGCUAAUACCGCAUAAAAACUUUAAACACAAGUUUUAAGUUUGAAGGAUGCAAUUGCAUCACUCAAAGAUGAUCCCGCGUUGUAUUAGCUAGUUGGUGAGGGAAAGGAUCACCAAGGCGAUGAUACAUAGCCGACCUGAGAGGGUGAUCGGCCACAUUGGGACUGAGACACGGCCCAAACUCCUACGGGAGGCAGCAGUAGGGAAUCUUCGGCAAUGGACGAAAGUCUGACCGAGCAACGCCGCGUGAGUGAAGAAGGUUUUCGGAUCGUAAAACUCUGUUGGUAGAGAAGAACGUUGGUGAGAGUGGAAAGCUCAUCAAGUGACGGUAACUACCCAGAAAGGGACGGCUAACUACGUG